rnacentral:rRNA from 1 species
GCUAGCGUUGCUCGGAAUCACUGGGCGUAAAGGGUGCGUAGGCGGGUCUUUAAGUCAGGGGUGAAAUCCUGGAGCUCAACUCCAGAACUGCCUUUGAUACUGAAGAUCUUGAGUUCGGGAGAGGUGAGUGGAACUGCGAGUGUAGAGGUGAAAUUCGUAGAUAUUCGCAAGAACACCAGUGGCGAAGGCGGCUCACUGGCCCGAUACUGACGCUGAGGCACGAAAGCGUGGGGAGCAAACAGG